rnacentral:rRNA from 1 species
AGGAACACAUGGGUAACCUACCUUUCAGUGAGGAAUACCGGCGAGAAAUCGCCGACAAGACCGCAUGAGCUUCUCUGGGGAAGGCCAGAGUAAGGAAAGCCCCUUUGGGGGUGCUGGAAGAUGGGCCUGUGGCCGAUUAGCUCGUUGGUGAGGUAAGGGCUCACCAAGGCGACGAUCGGUAGCUGGUCUGAGAGGACGAUCAGCCACACUGGGAUUGAGAACGGCCCAG